rnacentral:rRNA from 1 species
UACAGAGGGUGCGAGCGUUGUCCGGAAUCACUGGGCGUAAAGGGCGCGUAGGCGGUCUGGUAAGCGUGUGGUGAAAGCUCGGGGCUCAACCCCGGGUCGGCCGUGCGAACUGUCGAGCUGGAGCACUGUAGAGGCAGGUGGAAUUCCGGGUGUAGCGGUGGAAUGCGUAGAGAUCCGGAAGAACACCGGUGGCGAAGGCGGCCUGCUGGGCAGUGGCUGACGCUGAGGCGCGACAGCGUGGGGAGCAAACAGG